rnacentral:rRNA from 1 species
AGAGUUUGAUCCUGGCUCAGGACGAACGCUGGCGGCGUGCUUAACACAUGCAAGUCGAACGAUGAAGCUCUAGCUUGCUGGGGUGGAUUAGUGGCGAACGGGUGAGUAACACGUGAGUAACCUGCCCUUUACUUCGGGAUAAGCUUGGGAAACUGGGUCUAAUACCGGAUAUUCUGCGUGAUCGGAUGGUUGUGUAGGAAAGAUUUUUUGGUAAGGGAUGGGCUCGCGGCCUAUCAGUUUGUUGGUGGGGUGAUGGCCUACCAAGACGACGACGGGUAGCCGGCCUGAGAGGGCGACCGGCCACACUGGGACUGAGACACGGCCCAGACUCCUACGGGAGGCAGCAGUGGGGAAUAUUGCACAAUGGGGGAAACCCUGAUGCAGCGACGCCGCGUGGGGGAUGACGGCCUUCGGGUUGUAAACCUCUUUCAGUAGGGAAGAAGCGGAAGUGACGGUACCUGCAGAAGAAGUACCGGCUAACUACGUG